CAGUCAAAGGAAGAAAUAGCUCUUCUUCUAAGAUGGAAUCUGUUGUUUGGGAAUGUGGUUGAUCAACUUGACACGUUGGCCACAUGGUACCCGAUGUAAUAAAAUGAAAAGAAGAGGCAAGAUGAUGUCAUUUUCCUGUAUUGUGAAACCAAAAACAAAUGCCUUUUGUGAGACCAAGCUGACAAACCUCUGAUGGUGCAAAGAGUCAUUCUGUUUGAAGAAGUUAACAGUAAGAUAGAAGAAGUACUGUCAAGCUGAGACCUGCAGGUGUACAGAGAUCUAACAUACAUAUUGAGUAGGCCUGAUCAUCUGAAUCCCCUUCAAUCGAGAAAGCAUGGCUGUGAGUUGGAUCAUCUUCUCUCUGUGGCCCUUGACUAUGUUUGUGGGCCAUAUAGGUGAGCACAGUUUGUUUUCUUUGAGCCUAUUACCUUGAGGAUGUGCCAGGAUUUACCUUAUAACACUGCCUUCACGCCCAAUCUUCUGAAUCACUGUGAUCAAUAGAUGGCAGUUUUAGCAGUGGAGCCUAGUGAUUUAAGGAAGCAGCGUCGAAAGCUUAUGGGAUCUUAGUUCCCC